CCUUCAGGAGACUUUUAUAGUCCUCACAGGUGAGACGCUGCUGCAGUCUGAUUGGUUGCUCUGGUCAUGUGAUUUCAGAGAAAUAACUCAGGUGGACGGACGCUGAUCAGACAGACUGAGAGAGGACGUGUGGAGGUGAAGACUGAGAGAGGACGUGUGGAGGUGAAGACUGAGAGCUCAGAGCUGCUGUACCUGCAUCAACAAACAGAGGAACAACUCAGAGACUGAGUUGAGACUGAGAGAGGACGUGUGGAGGUGAAGACUGAGAGAGGACGUGUGGAGGUGAAGACUGAGAGAGGACGUGUGGAGGUGAAGACUGAGAGAGGACGUGUGGAG